rnacentral:rRNA from 1 species
GACGAACGCUGGCGGCGUGCUUAACACAUGCAAGUCGAACGGAAAGGCCCUGCUUUUGUGGGGUGCUCGAGUGGCGAACGGGUGAGUAACACGUGAGUAACCUGCCCUUGACUUUGGGAUAACUUCAGGAAACUGGGGCUAAUACCGGAUAGGAGCUCCUGCUGCAUGGUGGGGGUUGGAAAGUUUCGGCGGUUGGGGAUGGACUCGCGGCUUAUCAGCUUGUUGGUGGGGUAGUGGCUUACCAAGGCUUUGACGGGUAGCCGGCCUGAGAGGGUGACCGGCCACAUUGGGACUGAGAUACGGCCCAGACUGCUACGGGCGGCAGCAGUGGGGAAUAUUGCACAAUGGGCGGAAGCCUGAUGCAGCAACGCCGCGUGCGGGAUGACGGCCUUCGGGUUGUAAACCGCUUUCGCCUGUGACGAAGCGUGAGUGACGGUAAUGGGUAAAGAAGCACCGGCUAACUACGUG